GGGGGCACCCUGAUCCAGCCAUGCCGCGUGAGUGAAGAAGGCCUUCGGGUUGUAAAGCUCUUUCAGGUGGAAAGAAAUCUCCCGGGUGAAUACCCUGGGAGGAUGACGGUACCAUCAGAAGAAGCACCGGCUAACUACGUGCCAGCAGCCGCGGUAAUACGUAGGGUGCGAGCGUUAAUCGGAAUUACUGGGCGUAAAGCGUGCGCAGGCGGUUUUGUAAGACAGGUGUGAAAUCCCCGGGCUUAACCUGGGAACUGCGUUUGUGACUGCAAGGCUAGAGUACGGCAGAGGGGGGUGGAAUUCCUGGUGUAGCAGUGAAAUGCGUAGAGAUCAGGAGGAACACCGAUGGCGAAGGCAGCCCCCUGGGCCUGUACUGACGCUCAUGCACGAAAGCGUGGGGAGCAAACAGGAUUAGAUACCCUGGUAGUCCACGCCCUAAACGAUGUCGACUAGUCGUUCGGAGCAGCAAUGCACUGAGUGACGCAGCUAACGCGUGAAGUCGACCGCCUGGGGAGUACGGCCGCAAGGUUAAAACUCAAAGGAAUUGACGGGGACCCGCACAAGCGGUGGAUGAUGUGGAUUAAUUCGAUGCAACGCGAAAAACCUUACCUACCCUUGACAUGUCUGGAACCUUGCUGAGAGGCGAGGGUGCCUUCGGGAGCCAGAACACAGGUGCUGCAUGGCUGUCGUCAGCUCGUGUCGUGAGAUGUUGGGUUAAGUCCCGCAACGAGCGCAACCCUUGUCACUAGUUGCCAUCAUUUGGUUGGGCACUCUAGUGAGACUGCCGGUGACAAACCGGAGGAAGGUGGGGGAUGACGUCAAGUCCUCAUGGCCCUUAUGGGUAGGGCUUCACACGUCAUACAAUGGUCGGUACAGAGGGUUGCCAAGCCGCGAGGUGGAGCCAAUCCCUUAAAGCCGAUCGUAGUCCGGAUCGUAGUCUGCAACUCGACUACGUGAAGUCGGAUCGCUAGUAGUCGCAGAUCAGCAUGCUGCGGUGAAUACGUUCCCCGGGUCUUGUACACACCGCCCGUCACACAUGGGGAGAUGGGGGUUUACCAGAAAUAAGGCAGCUUAUCCGCCAAGGAGAGGCGCUUAUCCCCCCUU
rnacentral:rRNA from 1 species